ACUUUCCUAAUCCUAACUUUAGCUUUUUCUUAUCUUUACGUAAAGGUUGUCAAUAAUUCCAACAACCUAAUAAAUGUACAAAAGACUUUUGUUACAUAAUGUACAAUAAUUCUGUUUUUGUACAGUAUCUUGUCUCCGUUGAUUUUGUCGUAUCUGCUCCAUUAUUGCUCUGUAUCUGCUCCAUUAUUGCUUUUUAUCUGCUCCAUUAUUGCUCUUUAUCUUAUCUUUCCAGCUGGCAUUUUGUCUUCUUUAUUCUAGAUGUACCUCUGGAAUAAUAUUAUCUUCUCCAUUGCACCUCGAACAUUGGUGGUCUAGAUAUUUAUGUCCGAUUAUCUUACAGUAUCUUGUUAGUAGUCCUUCUGAAAUAAAUCCCUUUUUUAUUGCUCUCGCGGUAGAUUGUUUUUCUGGGUUGAGUAGCGUCAUUAUCCAUUGUCUUACGUCUUCCAUAUCUGCUUGUCUUAGCUCUUUUGAAUUUGAAUAUAUCAUUUGAUGAUCUCUUGAAUAGUAGCUCCAUAUUGGGUUUCCGUUAGCAUAGUUAUUUGCUAGUUCUUGAAUGAUCGUAGCUAGUCCAAUAAGUCUUUUAUUUGCAUAAAAAUCUGGUAUCUCGAUUCUAGGUAUCUCCGGUUGUUGCGAAAUAUCUUCUGGUAUAAUCAUAUCUCUUGUUAGUCCUAUCUUUACAACUUGUAUAACUGGUUUUAUUUCAUCAUAUAAUAUCUCUGCUGGUGCAGUAUAACACUUUAUAUAAAAUAAAUUUCCUUUUGUUAUUCUUUUGUAGGUAGUGAAUAUCUUGCAUAAUUCUUCCAUAGCUGUUAGCUCUUCUCCGUCUUGGGUAUAUAUGGUAUUUAGUAGUCCAUAGUCAAAACAGGUUUUAACUAGGCUUGGGUUAGUUUUGGGUAGUGCAAUUAAUUUAUUAUAUCCUUGUAAUUUUUGGGUUAUAUAAUUGGUAUUUGGUUCUUUGAUGUCUGUAGCUCUGGGGUUAUGGUUUAGAAAGGUUUGUACUCUGUAUAUAUUUUCUAUGUAUUUCUGGGCGGUGUAGUUGUAUACUUUUUUGUCUUGGUUUAGGCUAUCUCGGUAUGUGUUAACUUGUGGGGGUAUGAAUAAAUGGUCUUUUUGUGUUUUUGGGGUAAAUGGUUUUUCAAAUAUUUUGUUCAUAUUUACAUUCUGGUAUCUUGGUCUAUUAACUCCUUUGCUUGUACCUGCAGAAGUAGAUUGAUAAAUGUUAUGGGUUUUAUGGAGUGUCCCAACGUCUCCUUCUAGCUCUGGAUUUUUAAUGUCUUCCGAUGACAUAGCUCUGCACACUGCUGAGUUAGCUGAUUUGUAGCUAUAGACUUCAGUUUAUCUUCAUUAGUCUUUAGCUUUUCUAUCUCAUUACCCAUACUGUCCACUUUCAUUGAAAGCGUAGUUAGGGUGUUAAGUAUUUUUUCUAGAGUAUCUUCCUCUACUAUUUCAGUCUGUGUAGCUUUGUCUUGAUAUGUAAUCUGCAAUAACAUUUUUGUUAGUACUGAUCACUUCAAUUGUAAAUGUGAAAUUUAAUAUAUUUAAAACUAGUCUUCGAAUCUCUUUUGUUGUAACUGAAUUUUGUAUUUUCUUUGUUAACCACCAGCGUACCUGUGUAUUAUCUGUUCGUACAAUAAAUUUGUUAUAUACAAUAUAUGGCUCAAAUGAUAAUAAACACUUAUAUAAUGAACAUAACUCUUUUCUAUUUAUUUCCCAUUUUAUUUCUGUUUCGUUGAACGUACCUGAGUAAUAUCUACAAUGAUGUUCUAUUUUUUCUGCUUCAUAUCGAUAUUUAAGUACUCCUCCGUAACUAUAUUCACUUGCAUCUGCUUCUACUAUAUAUAUAAAUUUUCUAUUUUCAUCUGGAAAUUGCAAUUUUGGUAAUUCUCUACAAAGUAAUUUUAUUUUUUGAACUUGUUUUUUAUCUUUUUCAUCAUAAUUAUAUUCUAUAUCCUUUUUUAAUUUUUUCUGUAGUGGUUUUAAGGUUUCUGCUAAUUUUGGAAUAUAUUCUCUUACUUGGUUUACUAAUCCUAAAAAUGAUUGUAAUUUCUUUUUUGUAUCUAAUUCUUCUUUCGAAUUUAUUAUUUUUUGUACUAUAUGUUGUUGCAUUUUUACUCCACUUUUAUCUAUUUGUAUUCCUAAAAAUUCUAUCUGGUUUUUCAUAAUUUCAGCUUUCUUUUUGCUUAGACUUAUUCCUGAUUUUUCUAUUAUAUCUGUGAAUUGUUCUAAUAAUUUUAAAUGUUCUUCUUUGGUUUUGGUGUAUAAUAAUAUAUCAUCUAUGUAUACUAUACAAUUAGAUAAUUGUUUAAAAUAAUUAUCCAUAAAAUGUUGAUAUCUACCUGGUGCAUUUUUAUAUCCAAAUGGUAACACGUUCCAUUCAUAAAAUCCUUGUGGUACCGUAAAUGCGGUUAAUUCUUUAGAUUCUUCUUCUAGCUUUAGGUGGUAAAAUCCUGAUUUACAAUCAAAUUUGCUAAAAUAAUUAUAUCCUUGGAUUUGUCUUAUUUUUAAUAUCUUAUUUGGUAUCGGAUAAUUAUAUGUUAUAGUUUUUGCAUUUAAAUUUCUAUAGUCAAUAACCAUCCUACUUUUUCCUCUUUUUUGUUCACUAUGUUUAUUUACUAUAAAUGCUGGACUAUUAUGUUUACUAUUACUUUUUUGUAUAUAUUGUUUUUCUAAUAAUUCAUCUAUGUGCAUUUUAAAUUCUUUUAAAUCAUCAAAAUUAUAUGUUAAUGGUUUUUGUGUUAUUAUGCUAUUCUUAUCUAUUAAUUCAAUUUUUAUAGUAGUUUUGUGUUUUUCCCAUCCUUUUAAUGGAUCUUCACUAUAUAAUUGUUCUAAUUUUUUCUGAAUUAUUUCUAUUUUAUUUAUUGAAAAUAUAGUUAUUUCUGUUUUAUUUAUCGAAAAUACUACUAGUUCUACUGUAUCUUCAGUAUUUUUUAUAUUUUCUAACUUUUGUGUAAUUUUUUCACUUCCUUUUAUCCAAUCAGUUUUCUUUCUUAUUUUAUUAUUAACUCUUUUUGCUCUUACUUUUUGUUUGCAUGGUGUUGUAAACCACCAGUCUGUUUUGGUUAUUAUAUGUGGGUAUAAUUUAUCUAAAAAUGGCAUUCCUAAAAGUAUAUCUUUUGAUGUUAAUUCAUAAUUAUAAAUUUCUUCUAUUGUUAAUAUCUUAUCCCAUACUUGUAUUUUUACAUUCCUAGCUUUAUAAGUAAUUAAGCUUCCUUCAUUAUUAAAUCCUUUAACUAUUAUUGGUGUUUUUAGUUUAUCCCAUUUGCUUUCUGGUAAGCAAUUAUAUCUACAUAAAUUAGCUUCUGCUCCUGUAUCUAUCAUAGGCGUAUAAUAUCUACUGUAAUAUCCUUCUACUACUAUCUUCAUUAAUACAUGUAUCUUCAUUUCAUGUUAAGGCUCUUUUUAAGAAUAACUUUUCUUGGUUAUAUGUUAAGGUUAAUUGUGUAUGUUCUAUAUUAUAUGGUUUUACUUGUUCCAACCAUUUUAUUCCUAAUAUUAUAUCUGCUUUUUGCAUUUCUUCUUUUACUUCGAAUUCUAUUUUUAUUUUUCUAACUCCUAAUAUUAUUUCUUUUUCUGCUAGAUUUUUAUUAUUUAUUAAACUUCUUGGUAAGUCUGGGCAUAUAUUAUUGUCGGUUUUUAUUUCUUCAUUUUUUACUAGAUAUUUUGCUAUAUAAUUUUCUUCUUGUCCUGUAUUCAAAAGUAUUAAAUAUUCUUUUUCAUUUAUUUUUCCUGUUAUGUAAUAUUGGUUUAAAUUACUUAUUGAGUUUGUUUCAUAACUUGUUCUUUUUGAUGAGCUUGAUGAUUCUGGCUUUUCAUUAGCUAUUCUUUUCGUUGUACUUAUUCUAUCAUUUACUAUUUCUAAAUUUUCUUCUGUAUCUAUGUCUCUAUAGGUAUAAUCAUUAUAAUCUAUUGUUUUUACUAUUUGUUCGAAUGGGCUUUCUAUUUGUAUUUUGUUAAUCUUAUUUUUUCCUGUUAUUUUAUGUUUUGUUGUUAAUACAUAUAGAUUUUUACAUCUUGCUGUAAAUAUUUUACUUCCUGGGGUUAAUUCUAUUCCUGAUAUUUUCCAAUAUAAUACUAAUGAUUUAUCUAUAUUCCUAUCUGUUACUGCUACUGAAUAAUUUGCACUUAUUAUAAAUUUAAAUUUUUGGUAUAUUAGAUUUCCUUUUACGGCAGUUAUUAUGCUUUUUUCUAUAGGUUUUAUAAUUCUAUCGUCUGCUAAAUAUAAUUCUAUUGGUGUAUCUAUUCCUUCUCUAAAACAUGCUUUUAUUAAUAUCUCUGUACCUCCAAGGUGUACAUAUUUUAUUGGAUCUCCUUUACUUUUUAUAUCAUUUAUUUCUUUAUUAAUUAUUCUUUUUGUUACCAGUGGUAUACUAGCUUUUCCUUUUGCAUAUCUGCAAUCUAUUACAUGUUCUUUUUGGCAUACUACAUAAUAUUCAUCUUUUUUCCUAGUAAAAAUAUUUUUUAUUGUUGGUAUUUUAAAUAUUUUGUCUACACUUAAAUCUAAUUCUUUUCCUUUUAUUUCAUCAAAUAUAUUACUGUCAAAUAUUAUUUUUUGUUCCGUUCCUUCAUCAUUUAAAUAUUCUUCCUUUGUUAUUAUUUUUAUAUCUUCUUCAGUCAUUUGAUUCAUCUAUUUCGCUAUCUAUUUCAUUAUCUGUUUCGUUUUCUGAAAUUUCAUAUAUACUAUCUUCACUUUCUAAUUCAUAAUCUAUAUAAUCUAUCUGCAUGUAUUCGGUAUUUUCUAUUUUUAUUUCUGAUAUUUGUUUAUUUUUUGGAUUUUUAGGUAAUUUACAAUCUCUAGCUAAAUGUCCUAACUUUCCACAAUUAUAACAAGUACAUUCUUUUAUAGAUUUCUUUUUUCUAUAUGGUCUUUUAUGUUUAUAAUUUUUUACAUAGUAUCUUUUUCUUGGUUUUUUAUAUUUAUAUUUUGAUUUUUUAUAUUUCUUAUAUUUCUUAUGUCUUUUUCUUUUCUUAUAAUAUCUUUCUUCGCAUCCAAAUUGGGGUGCUAUUUUAUUUUUGCAACAAGCUAAAUUUCUUAUUAAUGUUUUUUCCAUUUUUAAUUCUUCUCUAUAUUUUUCACAUAAGUUUCUAUACCAUUGUUGUAAAUAUUUUAUUCUUGCUCCUAACGUAUCUACUAUUUUUGCUUCUUCCCAACUUUUUAUUAUUUUCGAACUAAAUGGCUCGGGUAAUUUAUUAAAAUAUAAUUUUCUUAUUUCUUUACUUUCUUCUAUACUAUAUGCUCCUUUGUAAUAAUAUUCUUUAAAUGCGCAAGUAUAUUCAUCUAUAUAACACAUAUUACAUAUUGCUAAUUUUAACAUUAAAUUUCUAUUUGUAUCUUUUUCUUCAUUUUGUUCUUCUUCGAUUGUUGUCGUACUACCAAAUUCAUCUUUUAUAGCUGUUUCAUAUUUUUUUAAUAAUUCUAUAGGUGUUAGUUUAGUUGUUGUCGAUGAUGUUCCUUCUAUAGGUUUAUUAGUUCUUAAUACUUUUUUGCUAUUUUCGGUUAGAUUUGCAAACCAUAGUUUUACUGAUCCUAUUAGUGUUUUUUCUAUAUAUUCCGGUGCAUCUGUUAUAUUUAUAUUAUUAUCUAAUAAUUGUUUUGUCAUAUAUCCUAUCCAUAAUUGUAUUGUUUUUUCUGUAUCUAUUACACAGUCUAGAUCUAAAAAGUUAUAAUUUUUAUUCACUAUUUGUUUUGGUAUCCAUUUAUCAUAUUCAUUAUAUUUUUUAAACUUAUUCUUAUAAUAUAUAGGUUUUCUUAUUUCUGUUGUUUUAGGUAUUAUAUUUUCAUUUUCUUUUUUAUCAAGAGUAUUUAUUUCUGUGUGGGUAUUUUCUAAGUUUUCCUCAUAAAUUUUUUGUUCUUCAUUGAUUUCUAAAUUUUUUGUAUUUGUUAAUAUUUCUGUGUAUGUUUCACUAUCUUCGGACUCAUAAUUAUCUGUCUCUUCAAUAUCUAUAUUAUUUAUUUCUAAUUCUUCAUUUUUUAUUUCUAAUUUUUCCUUAAAUUGAUUUAUCUCAUUUAGUAAUUUCUGUUCUCUAUCUUUUUCUUCUUUUUCUUUUUGUCUUUGUUCAUACAGUUCUUUUAACAUUUGUAAUUCUUUUUCUAAUUCAGCAAUUCUACUAUUUUUGGUUUCUUCUAUUUUUCGUAUUUCUUCCGUAGUUUGUUGUUUUAUUUUUUCUAUUUCUUUUUUCCUAUCUAUCUCUUCAUUUUCUUUUUCUAUUCUUACCAUUGCUGUUAAUUUAUCUUCUAAUUUUAAUUCUUCUUUUUCUAACAUUAGAUAUAAAUGUUCACCUAUUUUCUUAUAUCUUCGUCCUAGAUUAGAAAAUACUAUUUUUAUUUUUGAUCCUUCGUAGUUUUCAUAUAUUUUUUCAUCUAUUAUAAAUUCUUCUUUAUUCAUUUUAUUGUGAAUAGGUCAUGUUGAUAUACAUAUUCUAAACUAUCUAUUUGUGAUUCUAAUUUUGAUAUUUCAUCUUUUUGUGUAUCUAUUGAAUUUUUACUAACUCCGGCAAAUAUAUUAUAAUGUAGUCUUUCUAUUCUUAUUUUUAAUUCUUUACGUUUUUCAGAGAUAAUUUGUCUUAAUUCUUUAUAUUGUUGUAUUUUAUUCAUUUUAAAUUAUAUUUAUAAUAUCUCGGUGGAUAUCUAAAUCUAAUUUUAUCAUAAUUAGGUGGUAUAUGUUUCAUUCUUCUAGAUUUUAAAUGUGUUAUUAAUUUUGAUUCAAUACUAGAUAUUAAUGUAAUUAAGUAGGCUAGUUUUUGUGGAUUUUCUUUUGUUUUAUUUAGACUUAUAUAUUCUGAAUAAUUACUAAUUAAAGAUUCUUUAAUUUUUCUAAAAGCUUCUCUAUUUUUAAAUGGUCUUCGCAUAAUUAAUUAAUUAUAAGUAAAUUGUUUUAACUCUAAAUCUAAUUUUGACUCUAACAUAAUUUUGACUCUAAUGUGCUAUAAUGUAUAUCUAAUUCUAGAUUUUCAAUGUUAUUUAUUAUUUUGUGUUGUUCUUCUCGUAGUGAGUUUUUUAAAUUAUAUAAACUAUCACAUGUACUUUUAUCUAAAUUUUCUAAGGUUUUUUCUAUCCAUAUUAAUUUUUCUUUUAGGUCUUCCAUUAUUUUCUUAAUUCGGUUUCUAUAAUUAAUUUCAUUAUUUAGAUUUUCUUGAUUUUCUCUAGUUUUUCUAAUAUAUUCUAACAUUUUUUAAUCUGAAUAAUAUCCUUCUGGGUAAAUUUCUUCGUAUAACUGUUCUAGACAAUUUGUAGUUUCAAUUUCAUAGUUUAUUACUUCUUCUAAUAUUAUUUUCUUGAUAUCUAUUAUUUCUAUAUCUUUAAGUAUAUAUAAGAUUAAAACUUUAAGAUAAUCUAGGUAAUCUAUCUUUUAAAAUUGGUUUUAUUAUAGUGUUUUGUAGUUGUUUGUUUUAGCCUUAGUAGUUUUUGCAUAUUUUUAUUAAGAAAUUUUAUAUCUUUAUUUUCCAUGUAUUUAUCUAUAUUUAUUUUUAUCUGUUUUUCUAGUAACUGCGUAUUUUUUAUAUCUUUUUCUAAAAAUUUUAUGUAACUUAUCAUCGUAAGUAUUUAUAAGGGUAGUUAGGUAGAUAUGGUAUAUAAUUUACUCUAGUCAUGUAGUAUUUACCAAAAGCUUUUUCUAAUAUUAUUUUUCUUAUAUCUGCUACUUUUAUAUUUCUAAGUGCAUACAAAAUAAGUAUUUUGAAUUUAUCUACCAUCACAUCAGAUAUAUUAUCAUUCAUUUUCAUAAAAUUGCUUUUUUCAAAAUAUUCCCUUCAACCAUGUACAUAAAAUAUAGUCAUCUUAGCUUACUAUAUACUAGAUUAUUCUUAAAUAAUAUGUUCUUCCGUCACUAUUAACAUGGUAAUCCGGAUACGUUUUCCCUUAAACAGCGCCUCUACUCUGGUUACUCCCCGCCACGGCUUCUUGCCUCAUUGGUUUCACCUUUAGGAUGGCAAAGUCCUUAGGGAUAUUUCUCCGUUUCCUCUUUGUUAAUAAAUUUCUUAACAUAUUAUUCUUCGAAUAAUUCUACUAUAAAGUAACUAAUAUGAAUUUAUUUUAUCAUAUCAUGAUUGUUGGGAAUUAUGAAAUUAGCUAUUCAUAAUCAUAAAUAGAUAUACCUGUUCGGGUAGCUUUGAUAUUUCUGAGUUUUGUUGUUCCAUAGCUUUUUCCAUUGAAAUAUGUUUAUCUAAUUAACUGAGUAUUUUUUUUUGUGGAAUGGAGCAUUAAAUAUACCCUCUAUUCUACUGGAAUAGAGAAUGCAAUGCAUGCUUAUCACAUGCCUUCACUGGAAUUUGCUUCCCGAAUUUUGGUUGAGUAUUGGUCCUUCCUAUUUUCUUCAUUUGUCUUAUGGUGUCUUUCUAAUGAUUUUCCAGACUCUAUAUAAUUCAUAUAUCUUAAUAUUAAUGUCACAAAGGAUACUACAAGAAAAACCACAUGAAUUAGAAGUACAAACACACAAUAUCCAUCACAAUGUAUCAAAAGAAAGAGCUUAGACUAGGUUGAUUUCCAUGAUCUUUCACUCCAAGCUUCAACUAUUACCUUGAAUUACUUGAAUGUUGUACUCUCUUAACAACUUGUUCCAUAUAUAAUAACACAUUUAAAACCAUUUGGAACACAUUAAAACCAAUAUAAUCCAAUAAGAUAGACUAGGCAAGCAACUAGCUCAAGCUAGAAAGACUAGUUUUCUCUAUUGAACUGUAAUUGACUCUUUGAAGUACCAACUUACUUGGAAUUAAAUUUGAACCUUAUAAACACAUGAUUUAAAACUUUUAUACACAUUUAUCUCAUUAUCAACCCAUAUUUCAUAAAAUCAUCCUCAAAACAAGGCUAAAAUAGCUAGAAUAGUGACACUAGACUGCAUACACAUGCCCAACAUCGUACACCUACAAAAAAAGAAAACAAUGUGAGUGGAUUGUAUCCCAUCCAAAGCUUGAUUUAACACCGUGGCACGAUGUGACUAUGUUGGUUAAUCAGGCUUCACCAACAAGCCCAUGUAGCUUACUCAAGCUAUGUUGCGUCCCAUGAAGCGCCUGACUUAACAUUGUGUCCUGACUUGGUUGCCUUGGCUACUCAGACUUCACCAAAGCUUACAUCAACAUAAACUUUCACCUCAUCUGAAUUACCUAAAUAGUGCUUGACACACUUCCUAUUCACCUUGAACAGGGCUUCACCAUCAUAUUUUAACUCAAUAGCACUUUACGGAAGUACCCUAAUCAUGGUGAAUGGUCCAUACCACCUAAACUUCAACUUUACAAGAAACAAGCAAAACCUUGAAUUACAUACAAGACCAUAUCACUGGGCUCAAAUAACCUUUUAUCGAUCUUCUUUUCAUGAAAUAACUUUAUCUUUUCUUUAUACAGAGUCAAACUCUCAAAAGAUCAGAUCCAAAAUUCAUCUAACUUAUUUACCUUGCUCAUCCUCAAAUUAGCUGCAUCAUGCCACUCAAGUUUUUGCUUUUUCAAAGCCCAUAAUUCCUUGUGCUUAUAUUUGACCGAUAUAUGGUAUGCCUUUCCGUUCACAAGAUGAUAUGGAGAGGUGCCUAUAAGGGUCUUAAAAGAUGUUUGGUAGGCCUAAAGAGCAUUAUCUAACUUACUUGACUAGUCAGUCCUAUUGACAUUCCCAGUCUUCGCCAAUAUGGACUUUAUCUCAUGAUUAGAGACCUCAAUCUGCCACUUAUUUACGAAUGGUAAGGUGUUUCCAUCUUAUGCGUCUCACUAUAUUUUUUGAGUAGGUCCUUAAAUAGACGAUUAUGCAAGUGAGACCUAUCAUCAUAAUAAUAGCAUGAGGAGUACUAAAUUGAGAAAAAAUGUUCUUAAAAAAUACAAUGACACUUUUCCCCUUAUUGUUAGGAAGCACAACCAUCUCCACCCAUUUAGAAGCAUAGUCGAAUGCUAAAAGAAUAUACAUCAUCCCAUAGGAGCUCAUAAAUGGGACCAUUAAAUCAAUUCCCCACAAAUCAAAUAACUCUACAAUUCCCCACAAAUCAAAUAACUCUUAACUCCAGGAUAAGUUUCAUAGGGAGUUUAUAUUUUCACAAAAUAGUACCUUGCCGCUGACACUAAUCAAAGGCUUGGUCAAAAUUAUGAGAAUCAUUAUAGAUAUCUACAGUAAGACCCAUAUUUUAUAAUUUUAUGGGUUAUAUGGGUACCACAAUAAUGACUCCCAACUGGUGAUGAAUGACAUGACUCAACAAUAUUCAUUAUAUUCACCUCAUGAAUACAUAUCUGAAUAACUCUAUUUGUACAAAUCCAAAAGAAAUAAGGUUCAUCCUAAACAACUCCCUCACCUUAUGCAUCAACUGCUUAUACUGCUUGAAUGAAAAAUCUUUCAAAAUAAAAUAAAUUAACAAAAAGUUGGAAAAAUUAGCGAACUAGGGGAUUAAGUCUUGAGAUGCUUCCAGUACCCGAUCAUCUAGAAAAAUAUUAUUUUUAUAAAGCUUAUCCCCUAACUUCUCAUUGCCGCCUUCUCUAGGUGAGUUAAGUGAUCCACAACAUGGUUCUCAGUGUGUUUCCAGUCUUUCUCCUCAAAGUUAAAUUCUUAAUACAAGAGGAGAAAAUGAAUAAACCUUAGUUUAUCAUAUUUCAUAAACAUUAGAUACCUCAAUUCCGUAUGAUCUCUAUGAACUAUGGCUUUGUCCUUAUGAAAUUGGGCGAGAAUUUCUCAAAGGCAAAAACCACUUCAUGUAACUCCUGCUCAGUGACUAUAAUUUUUCUACAUGGGGUUUAAUGGAUAUCUAGCAUAAUAGAUUGGGUGAAGGAUUUUCUCAUGUCUUUUGUCUCGGAAAACUCUAAAGGCCACACUUCUAGCACCGCACAUCACCUCAAAGGGCAAGGACUAAUUAUGGGACACAAUAAUGGGAGUCAUGCUCAACCUCUCCUUAAGGAUGUCAAAGGCCUUGAGAAAAACAUCAUAAAACACAAAUUUAACCUUCUUAUCUAAAAUCUUACAUAGAGGAUUAGAAAUUUAAGUGAAGUCCUUCAUGAACCUCCUAUAGAAAGCAGCAUGCCUAAAAAGCUUCAAAUACCCUUAACUGAGACCAAAGGAG
rnacentral:lncRNA from 1 species